rnacentral:rRNA from 1 species
UACGGAGGAUGCGAGCGUUAUCCGGAUUUAUUGGGUUUAAAGGGUGCGUAGGCGGGAUGCCAAGUCAGCGGUAAAAAUGCGGUGCUCAACGCCGUCGAGCCGUUGAAACUGGCGUUCUUGAUUGGGCGAGAAGUAUGCGGAAUGCGUGGUGUAGCGGUGAAGUGCAUAGAUAUCACGCAGAACUCCGAUUGCGAAGGCAGCAUACCGGCGCCCUACUGACGCUGAGGCACGAAAGCGUGGGUAUCGAACAGG